UACGAAGGGGGCUAGCGUUGUUCGGAAUUACUGGGCGUAAAGGGCUCGUAGGCGGCCAACUAAGUCAGACGUGAAAUCCCUCGGCUUAACCGGGGAACUGCAUCUGAUACUGGAUGGCUUGAGUUCGGGAGAGGGAUGUGGAAUUCCAGGUGUAGCGGUGAAAUGCGUAGAUAUCUGGAGGAACACCGGUGGCGAAGGCGGCAUCCUGGACCGAGAUUGACGCUGAGGCGCGAAAGCCAGGGGAGCAAACGGG
rnacentral:rRNA from 1 species